GGAUUAGUGGCGGACGGGUGAGUAACGCGUGAGUAACCUGCCUUAGAGAAGGGGAUAGCCUUUGGAAACGAAGAAUAAUACCCUAUGACACCAAGCCCUCGCAUGAGGACUUGGUCAAAGAUUUAUCGCUCUAAGAUGGACUUGCGUCUGAUUAGUUAGUUGGUGGGGUAACGGCCCACCAAGACAGCGAUCAGUAGCCGGCUUGAGAGAGUGUACGGCCACAUUGGGACUGAGACACGGCCCAGACUCC
rnacentral:rRNA from 1 species